UAUGUAGCUCUUUUGAAGACUUUAUGUCAAAAGUAAAGAACUUCAGACCCUACAGGGCCUAGUUUGGUGCCCAAAUUCUCUUAGCUUUCUGAAAAGAGAAUAAUCUAUAGUGUAUUCUUUUUGGAGUAUCUUUACUCACUCGUAAUUAGAUGUCUCUAACAGUAAUCAGCUCCAUACAUCUGGACAUGAUGACCCUCAGGCCCAUGAGAUUUAGGUGUUCUCAGCUAGCAGGACAAGUUCCCCUAAAAAUAGACUCAAGUGAAUCAUUCAAUGGUUAUGUUCCAGAUCAGUCUCCUAAAAUCCAGGUGGUCCUUUAUGCAGGGAUGGUGAUAUUGGAGCUUAGAAGGUUUAUACAGAUGAGGAGGAAAAAUGAGGGAAAUUUCUGUAAGGUUUUUGAAAAUUAUAGUUACAAAUGAACUGAUGAAUAUGUAAUUGAAUGUGGCUAAGUUGAUGUAGUUGUCUGUAAAACUAGUUGGUGGAAGGAAACUGUCUUUGACCACCAAGGAAGGUGCAGCUUGUGGCACGGCACAAAGAUAACACUCAGCAGAUACACAGCUAUGAGAUGCAUGGAUGGAUGGAUAGAUGGGUGGGUGGAUGGAUGGAUAUGUGGAUGGAUAGGUAGGUUGACAGGUAGAUGGAUGGCUGGAUGGAUGCAUGGAUGUGUGGAAUGGUGGGUGGUAGGUGGGUACAUGUAUGUAUGUAUGUAUAUAUGGAUGGAUGGAUGGAUGGAUGAGUGGAUGCAAUAUGUGUAUGGGUAAGUAAGGGGGGAUAAAUGAAAGGCCUGUUCCCCUGAAGGGACUCUUCACAAAGAAUCUUUGAUCUUCCAUCUUUCACAUGUAAGAGACUCCCCAGUGUGAGCUUGUUAACAUAAGCAUUUUCUGGCUAUCACUCCCAGAUAUUUUGAUUCAGUAAGUCUGAGGAGGAACUUGGGGAACUUUAUCUUUUAAACAAGUACCUCAGGUCAUCACAGUAGUCUUACUGUCCUGAAUCUUAAUGCAUCUCUAUUUCUACGGCAUCUUCCAUGCAAUUGAUUUUGCAGAAAUCAUUCUGUGGUUCCAUAUUCCUGUAUUACCUGCAUCCAAGAGCUAUUGCUUUCAAAUUUACAUCAAGCGCAAUUUGGCAGGUGUUAGGGACAGACCUGGUAGCCAAGUCUUUGUUGCCUGAAACAGAUCCCCUAUCUUCCCUUAUCGCUUGUCAGGACCUUCUUCCAGGCUGCUCCUGAACAAAUCUGCAUGUGCUUUCUACCUGUGAUUCAGUGGGUUAGGCCAUAAGGCAGCUUUGGACAGGUACAAUCCUAAGGUAAAAAAGAACAGGAAUGUCUCCCAGAGGAGAGAAGAGGAGCCUAGCCUUUGAUGAAGACAUCCAGCCUGUAGAUGACUUUCUGUGUGCUGUUAUUUGGAGGUGGCUUCUUUUUUCUCUGACCCAGUAGCUGAAUCCUAUGCCAGAGGGCAGAUAUUUUGGAUCAGCAAGGCAUCCUUUUUUUUUUUAUAAAAGGCAUCUGAUUGUGAAGGAAGGAAGAAAAUGCCCAAAGGCACCGGACAAGGGCUAGGAAGCUGUGGAGUUUCACACAUUCAUAAUUUCCUUGUAGGCCACGUUUACUCUCAGGAAUGACAGUCAUUUUCUAAGAAAGUGAGAUUGCUUCACAUCGCAUUUAAAGGCUUAAAUAAUGUAUCCUGUCAGACAAUUCUCUGAAAUGGUUUUCCAAGUGAAUGCAUCAGAAAGUGCCUAGAAAGAAUGCCUGGCACAGGAAGAGGCGGGCAUUCAGAAAAUGUGAGCUGCUUGCAUCAGAAUCUAACUUGAGAUGUAUCAUUCCUACGGUAGCGUGCACACAUAUUAAAUGUACAGUUCAAUGAACUACUUAUUCAUACAACUGUGUAAACACCACUCAGAUCAAGACAGAGAACAUUCCUAACACCUCAGAAGGCUCAUCUGUCCCCCUUCCUAACCAAUAAGUACCAUCAGCAUUAAGAGUUAACCACUGUUCUGAUUUCUAUCACCAUAGAUUUCUGCUCCUGAAAUUCAUGUAAAUAGUCACCCACCCAGUAUGCAUUCUUUGCUGUCUUGCUUCUUUUACUCCUCAUUAGGUUGUGGGAUAUACCCACGGUAUUUCAUUCUUUAUUGUCAUUCUUCUUG